GGGGGCGUUUUGGAUUCGACGGAGACAGUUCGAGCGUGAAUGGCGGGUCGUGGGGCCGCGAGGCCACGUAAAAAACGCGGACCUGAAAUUAACUGGCAAAGCAAACCGCUUUACCUCAAACAGCAACCUCGCCCUGGCUGCUUAAUUGUAACCAGGCCGUUGCCUCGUGUGUCGCCCGUGCACACCUGGUAACGUCAACUUAGCGGGAUAGUCGGCGGUAGGUGUUCGCGGACCACCGAUGAAACGCAGCGAACUCACCUGUUGUCGAGCGUGAUUGUCCGCGCGGCACAGGGACAUCCAGUAGGCAAUCUACACCCGUAGAAGUUCACGUGGCGAGGUCUUCGGACGCGGGUUCGACUCCCGUCGCCUCCACCA
rnacentral:tmRNA from 1 species